CUUGUGCAAAUACAGUGGGAGGUGUAUCGCAAGUUACUCUGGCUCUUAUAAAAAGGAGUCGCGACUCAUAAAAGGUUGGAAAACGCCGUUCUAAGGAGAAAAAGAAGCAGAAAGUAAUCUGCAGGAAAGGAGGCAGAAGGCAGCCCCAAAGUAGCAAUUAAAAUAUCAAUCUAGAAAGAGAUAAAGAAACCACCUGCUAUCAUCUGAUUGUUCGUGGGCUUUUAGAGUUCUGAUCUUGGCAGCAUCGUAGAGAUCUCUGUGAUAUCCCACGGGGUGGAGGCUCUAGCUGUGCAUGGGACUGCCAGACAAUGCACAGAAAGGUGUUUCAUACGUUCAUUUGAGUCACUUCUUGGAGAAUCUGAUGAAAGCUACAAAUUUCUGCCCCCCAAAAAUGCACAUAAACAUACAUAUUCCAACAUCGGGUCUAGAGUAUGCAAGCUAAUAAAAAAAGGCAAGAUUGCUUCUGAAAAUGUUAAUUUGGCAUGGGUCUUGUAGUUUGGGCCUAGGCUUUGUCUCCUGAGAGAGACCCUCAAAUAUUGGUGAAUUGGGAUGGCAGUCCUGCCCUCGUUUUGCUUGAAGCUUAGUCGCCAUCGGCCGCUAGAGGGCGCUGCACCACACGACGUAGAAGUGCCCGACCACGCUCUUCCCUCUCUCUUUCCGUCCGCUCUCGAGGCGAAGUCUUUUGGCCGCCGCGAGCCGCCGUAACAGCCAUGGCGCUCACUGCUGAGCCCUUGUCGGAGCGGUCCGUGCAGCUGGCGGUGCUGCUCGCCUUCGCGUCGGGAGUUCUGGUGGGCUGGCAGGCGAACCGAGUGCGAAGGCGGUACCUCGACUGGCGGAAGCGGCGGCUUCAGGACCAGCUGGCCGCCACGCAGAAGAAGCUGGACCUGUCUUGAAGGGGGAGUCACAGAUCUUCAAUAUCAGAAGCAUGGUAUUAGUUGUUCAGCAGGUGAUGCUUCUCUUAUAAUAGGAAACUCAUGUUGGGAAGGACAAUUUGCCUGCUGAAUUCAUGCCCGUUUGGUUGUUGUUAAAGACCUAAAGGUUUUGGAAUGAGGGGGAGAAAAAUAAGCAUUCUUAAGUAUUCAACCAGUUUCUGUAUCUGAUGUUUUUCCCCCUGUCACAUGUUGACAUGCCAUUAAGAGGGCAUACCAAUAAUCUCUUUUUGAAGAAAAGUUUCAUUUUUAGUUUCCUGGUGAUGAGGUUUCAGUUCAGAGCAAAAGGCUUGGCCAGGCUGCUUUGGGGCACUUGUUCAUAUGGAAAUCAGACAUGAUACACAGGUGUGAAGUUGCUCAUUUGGGUACAGUAGCAAUAUUUGUAUGCUCAAUGUGCAGAAAUUAAACUGCUAGAUCUUUUUCCCCAUUUAUUUCUGUGCCAUGAAAAGCAUGACACUUAAUUUUUAUGUGUGUUGUCACUAAUAUGGGCACCAUUGGUGCUAGGAAGCUCAUCAUUGUUUUCCUCUACUGAAGCAAUUGCAGUGUGUGUGUGUUUUUAAAUCACCAGGACUGCUUUGUAGCUUGUAAUCUUCAUUUGCAGUCCUAUAAGAUGCUUCCUCGAACCUGAUGCCCUCCAGAUGUUUUGGAUAUCAGCUCCCAUUAGUCCCUAGUAGCAAGGCCAGUUGUCAGAGGUGCUGGGACUUGUAAUUGAAAACAUUUGGGAGGCCCCAACUUUGAAAGGGUUGCUGUAUAUAAUCACCUUGGAUUAAAUCGUAUUGCAUUUGAUGAAAAUUGUUUUUGAGUAGGCUUAUACAGCUGGGCACUUUCAGACUGAAGUAGUAUACUUUUCAAAAUCACAAGACUCAGUUCUAAAUGUAGAUGUUGAAGUACAGUACUGGAGCUAGAUUGUCUCAUCUGUUGAACUGGAAGUUGCAGCGAAGCCCCUUCUGGAAUGCAGACAGACAUAAGCUUCAGUGUUUAAUGGUGGAUCCAUCCCAAUCUCCUCCUUGCUGCUGCUUGUGGUUAUGUGUCAGAAUAGUGUCCAUUCAAACAUUUUUCCCCAUUGAACGUUUUACGUUGAUUUCCUUCUUCUUUGCUUAUGUCAGAAGCAAUCCAGUGGUGCUUCCAGAGUGGAAGGAUCAGCUGAUAAGGUGAUGUUGUGGUCCAGGGAAUGUCUGAAUGUGCUCUCAGUCCUCACAUUCUUUUGGGGAGGCUCCUUCCUCGAUUUCCUUAGAGAACUAAUGUAGUACGAGGACAGAAAUGUUAAAUUUGGGAAAUCCAGGCUUAAGCCUUCACUCGGUCAUGAAACAUACUGGAUGGUCUUGGACCAGUCACUCUCUUAACCUGGCCUGCCUGACGGGGAAGAGGGAGAGCCAUGUAUGCUGCAUCAGGCUCACUGGAGGAAAGGCACGGGUGUAAUUAAAUAAAGAAAAUUAACUUUUGCUUUAAGAAUGGAAAACAUGUGGAAGGAAUAAACAACGUAUAUUUUCUUUCUUUUUCUGUUAAUAGGCAAAACGAAGUUGAAACCACAAGACACCUGAAAAUCAAUUCCACCUGCAUUUAAAGUUACAUUAAUACAUUUAAAGUUACUUUAAAUACAAAUAUACAGAAUUGUAUUCUUGCACACAAAGUUGUUCUGAAAAAAAUACACCUGGUAUUAGCUUCUGUGAUCUUAUUCACUGAAACUGGUAUCAGCAGAAACAUAAAGAAGUCUGAUCAAAUAUUUAAAUUGUUACUUUGUUUGGUUUUGUUAAUUUCAUGUGCUAUGUUUGAAAGACCUGGCUAUUUCAUUGUGUGACUCUGAAGGAAAUAUAGUAACUUGAGUGUUGCCAAUGAAAUUCUGUGUAUGAAUAAAUAAAAUAAAUAUUUUAAGACAUUA